CGGGUGUACAGUUCAGACAGGCGUGCUCACGCUGUGGCCCUGGUGGAAUCCAGAUAGCUCAGUACUAGCUACGUGUGUCGCGCGCCGGUCCCGUUUGUGUCAUGGCGUCUCGCAUUUUCACGAGACAGGCUCGGCAGGCUACAUUGUUUCCUUCUUGACGCGUGGAUGCCCUGUUAAGAUAAUGAUGUGGCUUCUGGCAAGCGCCCUCGAGAGGACAGAACCCGGACUGAUAGAAUGCUAACUGCUGGAGAGCCGAGGCUAAAGGUGUCAGAGCGGCGAAUCACUUCGCCAGUGCCGUGUCGCAAGCGGAGUGCACCGUUUUGACGGUCAUUAGCGUUUCUUGCGGCCCUCAAAUGUGUGCAGGGUAGUUUUAUUCAUCAGCCGUUUUUGUGAGCGAGAUAUAUUAAGAAGAGAUUCCUGUUAAGUGGCAUGCAUGCAUAAGCACAUAAUCUAGUAUGCCUAUCAACGUAUAAGCGCCUAGGAAUACUAUUGCGUCGUUCAUUCUUUUUCGUGGUCUACUGUGCGAUCUGAACGAAGCUCGUCCACUUCUCCAGCCGGAACCCAUACAGGCGCCACAGCGAAAGCUUGAACGGUACGUGUUGCUCGGCACGGCAUCUUUCUACCGGGAUAAUGACAACGGUAGCGAACAGUAAGGUUUCCGUAGAUUUUGAGGACACUGAUGGUGACUCAGAUGAGGAGUUCAGUCGUGACAUCAAAGAGGAGACGAGUCUGUUAGAAACAACGGGUCCGACCGGUUCGGGUGGUUGCUGGAACGAGAGCAACUCACUCGUCACACAGUGAAUGACUUUCGGCAGAAAAGAGGAAUCAGGUGGGCCAGCUUUAGGCAAGACACGCACAGCUCCGUGACGGUAGACCGUGCCGAAAGUGGCUGUCCGAGACCACUCGCUACAGACGGGAGAGGAGGAGAGCUCACCGUCAGGGCGCUCGAUGCACGACGAAAAAGCCGAGGCUUCGUUUUCGUAGCGUCCAUGCACGUGUUUUAAAACAGUACGAUCCUUUCCGUCUUUGAGCACUAAAGGGGACUUGCAAGGAACUGUUUCCCCCUGAAAGCAAGCUCGACAGGCGGUUGCGAGCGUGAUUUUGAGAACGAUCACGGAUGCCCGGUCGUUUUUAUUUUCCCUUCCGCUUCAUGUCUCCUACGCGUUCCUGUGCUCGAGGCGGGAAGUAUGUCUGCUGUUCGCCCUGGUUCGGCGAAGCUUCGAGAGCUUUCCAGCAGACUCUCCUGUGUCGAAUUUAGGGUUUAACUGUCAGAGUAGGAACGGCUGAUGUGUGUUUGAAUUCCCUGCGCCUGAGCGCGGAGAGACCACGCUUUGCACCGCCCAAGGUAAAAUUCCCCAACUUUGAAAAACAUGCCAUCCCAUAAUGCAACACUCUUGUCAAUCCCAG
rnacentral:lncRNA from 1 species